UGUGCCACCUGUCCAAACCAAAUUGAAACACCACGAAGCCUCACUAAGCCAUGGUCACGUGACAUGGGCGUUUUGAACCACACUUCGAAACACUGUUCGAAACACUUGCGUUUCGGAACUGUUUCGAAACGUCAGCUUCGAGCGUCACAUCCUAACGGCUGUAGCCCCAUUCACUUCCAUUGCUUUUUGCCUGAUAUUGUCAGUGAUGCUGAAAGUGACAUGACCAGAGGACAUUGGCUGUCUUUAGGGACCGGGUUGACAAGUGGUUAUUGGAGUGAUUGAGUGGUGGUUGGAGUGAGGAAUAGGCUGCUGGAGCAACAAGACUCCCUGAAGCUGAGACUGGAAAGGGCAGGCCAAGUACUUCCAUGGCAACAAGCAAGUUUUAGGUCAUGGCAUGAAGGCAGUGUGCUGUGCAGGAGCAUGGCCUCUGACUCCAUAAGGGAAUCGGUCGUCCUUGCCCGGAACAACUGCUCCACUUUGCUGAUGAGAUCGAAGGCCUCUUGUGAUGGACGGUAAAGGGCACCUCUCUUGAACUCCUUCAGUUGUAGCAGUACGCUACAUUUGCUAGUAGCACCAUCAUUGCUAUUGUCUGCAACAGCAUGCUGGCAUUCCUCACAACGCGAGUUACUGAUUACCCUCUUAACAAUAUAUCCUGCAAGGUAAUAUAAUACACAGGCAUCUGUUUUGGUUAAGGUAGGUGUUGCUGGGUCUAUCAGUUCCUCCAGCCAGGACUGCAGAUGGUGUCGAACUAGUGGUCUACCUUCUCAAGGAACCAAGAUGUUGUGAGGUAAGACUGUGGCCGUUGCUCCUCCUCAGCCAGGUAUUUCAGGCCAGCACUGGUCGCUCUACUGAAGACGUGUAUGGCAGGUGACAAUGACACCGAGAUUGAAUAAAUAUGUGCUGUUGGGGUCAGAUCUUUGAAAAGUUGGGAUCUCAUUUGUCUGCUGCAUUGAAGUUGGUCAACAACAAAAAUGGGAAUGAUUUUGCAGUCAUGAAGGAUAAAUUGGUAUGUACUGUGAUAGUAUGUACUGUGUCUCUGUGUUAAGGGCCGUUCACACCAGGAACUGUAACGAUAAAUGCGUCCACACUGACCAACAAUAACAAAAGUCUCUCCUUGUGUUGAUGAAUUUGCUGGCUAAAGUUCAAUGGAUUCUGAUUGCCUGUCAGCUUUUUAUUCUCAAAAUAACUCUUGACAGAUAUAGUUGGGAAUCACAUUUUUAGUGUUGUUAUCAUUAUAGUUCAUGUGUGGAUGUAAGGUCUGAGUCCCCCAACCGACCUUGCAGAGGUCGGCCGUGUAUGGGUAUGUAAAACUCUUGCUGGUCUCUUUGGUUUCUGGUAAUAACUUGAUGUGGCAUCUGUGAAUGUCUUGUACCAAGUGUACACUGACUGUUACCUGCUCUCUCCAUUCUCCACUGUGCCUGUUCUUACCUAGGACCAAGGAUGCAGAGGACAAGAUGGGUGUGCGGUAUGACUGAAAUGAUCAGAAAAGGUCAGAAGAGGCCCUUACACAAAGGUUUUUCUUGAUCCAGCAUCAGCAUCUCCAACACCUCCUGUAGCACUCCAGACUCCAGCCAAAUGUGCUACCUCUUCCUUACAUUAGCCCUCUUGUAGGUGUGCAUAGUGUAUGUAGAGCAUCCUUUCCACAUUGUGUCUUCGGUUGUUCACACACAAUUAUUGUUCAGACUUGGGAAUCUAAAAUGUUUUUCAGAAUGUCUUUGAAAAUCUAAAUGAGUGUCUGCCCUCCUUUUUAUGUUGCAGUCUCACCAUCUCCCUCACAGCCUUUUUUGUGUUUUGUUCCUGUUCUUGUUGUUGAAACACACUUAUUCCACACAUUGCAAAUUUAAUAAACAAAUCUAGUGAAAACCUAAAA